CGCCCCUCGCGACGGCUGCUCCUCUUCACGCCCCGCCCCUUCCGGCUUUGACCCGGAAGUGGCCUCCCAAGGCGGAAGUGAGCUGGCGAAGCGCGGCGGGCAAUUGAAACGUUGGAGGAUGGCGGGGUUGAGGCUGCAGGCCGUCGGGGGCUCGCCCAGGUACAAAGAGCUCAUCCGCUCCAUGAAGGCAGUGAGGUGUGAAGACACCGUCGGGAGAGAAAGGAGCCAGUUUCUCUAACACCUGUUGCCAUCCUCAAGCUGUCACAACAAAUCCCAACAACAGGGUGCCGGGCGCGUGCCCUGCCCCCUCCAGGCAUGAGCGCUCCGGGACAAGGUCCCCUCCUACCUGCGCGAGUGCGGGACCUCGCCAGUGCCGCCGACACGCUGGUGGUGCCCCUGAGCAGCCUGGCCCGCUGCACCCGCGCCUGCCACUCCCAGCAGCUCCUGAAGAUGUUCUGGCCAGGCGGUGUCCCCGUGGGGAACGACCUCCUUGGUGCUGACCGGUGGGCGGUCGGCGUAGGUGAGGCGCUGCUGGGGCCUGCUCUGGUUCCAGGACCCAUGUCUGCACAGAGAGGGGAGCUCAGGCCCCCUGUCCCGCAGGUGCCCGCAUGAAGCACCGCGUCCUCGCCAGGCAGGCCCUGCGGAUGCUCCAUGAGGACCCGUCCCCAUGCACAGACAAGUGCUGGCGCCUGGCCCAUCCUCCGCGUGCCACUCCCGCGUUGCUGGGCAGAUUGCAGCUCAGAAGGCCAGUGGGGGGCCCUGAAGGCCAUGGCCACCGCUGAGCACCCGUGUCACAAGCACACGUGAGGGCUCCCUGUGCACCACCUGGGGCGGCAGCCCUGUCCUGGAGCAGAGCAGCCUCCUGACCUCGCAGGCCCUGCAGGUGCCCCCACCCUCCCUCCAGACGCUAAAGCUCUCCACUUGCCCAGGCACGCCGUCUGGACACCAUGCUGCUCUCAGGGGCACCAGGGCCUGCAUGGGCUCUCCUCGUCUUCUCCAGAGCCUGUCCCAGCGCCCACCCUGCUCUCCACUGCAUUUGGCGGGACUUGCCUGGUAGCCGCCCCACCCUCUGGAGCCUGGUGGAGCACCCUGCCCCCGCCACCCCUCCCAGACCCCCACCCAUACAGCAUCAGGUGCACUGGCCACCUGCCCCAUCCUGUGACCGCCCGCUCCCCACACAUGGCCCCAUGGCCCCUGCUCGUCUCUGACACGUGCACUUCAUUGCAGAUGCUGCUGCAUGUGGCUAACGGCAUCCCGCAGGAGCUGAGGGCACACAUGCAGCCCUCCCUGCCCUCCAGCUUCUUCCACGGCGAGGAAAACUGGGUGCUGAAGCUGUUUCUAGAAGGCCUCUUGCACAAAACCGCCAUCCUCCUGGAUGUGGUGGGCAUGAUUAUGCAGGACCCAAGCAACCGACCAGGAGCCCGCCCUGCGUGGUAGGCCCUGGGCCCUGACUACAUGAGUGAGCUGCUGUGCCUGUCCCUGAGCUUCGAGGGUCCAGAAACGCAGCCCUUCAGCCUCUUCCUGUCCCACGUGGUGGCAGAAACCUGAGUGGUGUCCCUGGGCAAAGUCGCUCGACCUUCAUUGUCUCUAAAACCUUCAGGAGGCCGCACCUCGGCCACAAACCACCUGUAGCUGAGCAGAUUCGUGUCUGUCGUUUCCCUGGGAAGACACUGGAAUGCCCAGGUGCGGCUGGAGCCCCGACAGCUGUCAGGAUGCACUGCGUUAACCAAGGCCGGUUCCCCAAGACCAGGGCCGUCCGCCCACGACACCCCUGGAGUCAUUCUUUGUGUUUUUGCACACAUGAGUCUAAGAGCCUAAAUUAUUUUUGGAAAUCAUUUUGAAACUUUCAAAGAUUAUGUAAAAGCUAUCUGGUUUUUUGAGCAAUGUUUAACUGAGUGAAGUAAAAAGUUUCUUUGGUAUUUUUUCAGUGCCCAUGUUCACCUCUGCUGGUUUUGAUUCCAGGGAUGGGGAACAAGUCGGCACCUGCGAGGCAGCGGUCAGCUGGAGGACAAGCUGUCUGCCUCCCUCCCGAGCAUCCUCCUCCCACCGUGGAUCCAGACCUGCCAGGUCCCCCUGGGGCGGGCUCCAGUGCAGGGGGCCUGGACUGGCACGUGUUGGGGUCCACAAGUCCACCCUCCCAGGAAGGUGAGAAACAGGACCUGCCGGGUCCCCUGACACUCACCAAGGACUGGGGAUGCCUGACACGAGCAGGCAUACGUCAGCUCAGCCACCGUGUGGGGUCAUGGCCUCCGUCACACAAGCCUGCCUAGGUCAGCACAAGGACCGGUUCUGAAUCCCAAGGGCAGCGGGCGUGACUGGCACCCAGACUGGAAACAGCACAGCAUGCCAGGAGGGCAGGCCUGGCUCCAGCUGUCCUGGCGGCACCAUGGCACCCCGGUGUAUUCAAGCACAAGACGCAGCCCCACAUGUGGACUGAUUGCCGCUGUGACCACAAUGGAUGGACUUCCUGAUCCCACAGUGAGAGCUGGAACAGCUCCCGAAAUCCGGGUCCAAGCAGACCAUGGAGGGCCAUGCCGGCCGGGCCACACCAGAGCUUCUCCCAGGGGCUCUCGGGUCACUGUUGGGCUGGAACCUGGUCCUGGGCACCCAGCUCUGCCCGUGCCCUCAAGGGGAAGGCAGGACUGGUAAGGGGGUCUGGCUGGUCUGGGUCUCAGUCCAAACCUUGAGCAAGUCCUG
ensembl:lncRNA